UGGAGAAUUUGUCCAACGGCGGGGGAUAGCCGGCCCAAACGGCCGGGUAAUACCGCGUACGACCUUCGGGGGGCGAUCCCCUGAUGGUGAAAGCCGCAAGGCGCCGAUGGAGAACUUCGCGGCCUAUCAGCUAGUUGGUGAGGUCAUGGCUCACCAAGGCGACGACGGGUAGCUGGUCCGAGAGGAUGACCAGCCACAUUGGGACUGAGACACGGCCCAGACCUCCGUACGGGGAGGCAG
rnacentral:rRNA from 1 species